rnacentral:ncRNA from 2 species
CUCUUAUCAAGAGUGGCGGAGGGACUGGCCCCGAUGAUGCCCGGCAACCGAGCUUAUAACAUAUAAGCUAAGGUGCUAAUUCCUGCAAAACGAGUUUUCGUUUUGGAAGAUAAGAG